rnacentral:rRNA from 1 species
UACGGAGGAUCCAAGCGUUAUCCGGAUUUAUUGGGUUUAAAGGGUGCGUAGGCGGCCGAUUAAGUCAGGGGUGAAAGACGGUAGCUUAACUAUCGCAGUGCCUUUGAUACUGAUUGGCUUGAAUACACUAGAGGUAGGCGGAAUGUGACAAGUAGCGGUGAAAUGCAUAGAUAUGUCACAGAACACCAAUUGCGAAGGCAGCUUACUAAGGUGUGAUUGACGCUGAGGCACGAAAGCGUGGGGAUCAAACAGG